rnacentral:lncRNA from 1 species
GGGUCUCCAACAGUGGUAGCAUAUGGUUCUCACGGGGUGCACAGUAAAAUAGUACACCCACAAGUUUCACAUUGCGUUACAGUGCUUCUGGCAUCUUAGCAGACGCAUUUAAUGCUUCGUCAGGUGUCCCGGAGAUGGGACAAGGGUGCGUCCCGUCGUGGGACAAGGGUGCGUCCCGUCGGCACUGUGCUCCCAGGUUCCGCUCGACACGCGUCCAUCGGAACGACACGUAUCAAGUGGCUAGGGGACAGCUGGCUGUUGCGCUGGCACAAGGCUGCGUCGGGGCCCUGCCGGGGAUGAGGUGUACUGGAGCGUGGGCAGCUCUGUCUUUGCUGCCUUCCCCCGGCAAAGGGGCUUGUCGGGGUCGAUGCUUUUGGUCUUCUGUCUUGAGGCUUCCGAUGCCUUCAUGGUCUUGGCACGGCACUUCGGAAAGUGCCCUUGCCGGGUCGUUGUCUUGCCGGGGACAGUGAUAGCCCCUGCUCCGGUCCUUGUCGGGUCUUUGCUGGCCUCCCCCGGCAAAAGGGGCUUGUCGGGGUUGGCGCCUUCCUGUCAGUCUGAAUGACCUCUGAGAGUUUUGCCCUUGUCUCCCGUCGUCCCUGGCCGGGCCUGCCGAGGGCGUGGCUACUACUGUUCGUGCACAAGUCAUGGGGGCUAAAGGCCCACUCUUUAGCGCACCGACAGGACCCCCUGGGCCUAGGCCAUACACGCGUGCGAGGCGUUGUUGGGCUAGGCCCAAACGGUGCACGGGCACGCGCGGCCGAGAUUCGAGACGCUGUGGGGCUUUUGCAUUGGCUGCCAAGUUCCCGCUGCGCGCCCUUGAAUGCGCGACGUGGGAGUUGUGCGCGGGGCGGCCGAGUAACCCGCACGGGCGACGGGCCUACCACAAUUGGCCGUUUCCGCCACGCGUGCUGCAUGCACAGCUGUGGCCUGACACGUGGCGCCCGGGACUUAAAGUCCUGACGAACGCCGCACCCCGGAUUGGAGGAGCGGGGCGGCCGUCUGCUCGCCCGUGAACGUGGGCGAGCGGAUUGGUGGAAGUGGGCGGCGGCUCUUGGGAGCGGGGGAGAGCCAGCCUCCACAUUCCUCCGUAUAAAACUGGGGGAUUGCGAGAGGCGACGCUCAUCCUUCCUCCAAGAACAUCUCCAUCCAACUCCCGUCCUUCAUCUUUGUCUUGACUAGUGUUGGCCCUCGGUAAUGGCCAGAGGGAGAGGGCGGCCCCCGCUCUCUGCCUCAACAGCCAGGGGGUCUCGCUCGGAUCGUGCCACCGCUUCAGCCGUCGAUCGGGGGGAUGGCCCGGGCGCCCGUGGCGGAAGAUGGGCGAGGGGCCGCGGUGGCCGUGGACGGGGGAGACGGGGGCUGCUCCACCUUCUUCCCCGGUGCCAACUUCUUCAGGAGGGGGCCAUGCAGAAGGGACAUCAUUGGAAUUCGUCGUAGAGCUGCACGGUCCUCCCCGAGGCCACCUGCACCUCCCUUGCCCCUUUGCAGGGCAAUGAAGGUUGACAAGCCUCCCGUAUUGUGGCUGCGGGCGCACGGCGCCAUGCGGGCAGACGUGGAGUACCCGAAGCGCCACGCCAUGCUCCUUGGGCGCGGCUGGAAGGCCUUCGCCCACGCCCACGGUCUCGAGGACGGGCUUGUCCUCCGCUUCAAAAUGGUGGAGGCCGACAUGCUCUCUGUCAAGUUUUAUGGGCGCUCAGGUGCGCGUCUCGGCUGCUGCGAAGAGAGCUUGAGCGGUGCCGAACGUUCCUCCUCGAGUGAUAGUGACGAGGAGGACAGUGCUGGUGACGGCGGUGGCAACGGGUCAGGAUCUAGGGGCGUCAAGUCGGAGUACGAUGCCCCGAGCUCUGACUGACCGACGGCCGCACCAUCAUAGUCAGCUCACGCCUUUCCCCUCCCCAGUUGGGGCGGACCCGCCGAUGGAUCCGACGCUGCCUCAUCUUCCAGGAGGCUUGCGAUCCCCGGCUUCGCCAUCCCUUCCGGUUGUGCUCUCCUCUGCACAGUGUAGGUCCAGGAGGAACCAGCCUGAGUUGUUGCUGCGGGCCUUGCCGCUUUUUCCUUCUUGUAGGUGUCACCUCGUAGCAUAAGACAAAAGUUUAUCUUAAGUUAGUACGACAACCACAACUAUGUAAUAUAUCAUAUUAUCGUGAAUGAAAAUGUAUGCUAUUUUCCCUAUCUGUUUCUCCUUGUAUGGUAAAAAGGAAGAUCCUACGCUAUACUAGGCACCUGCCGGUGCGAACAGCCCCUGCCGAGAACGCUUAGAGGACGGAUCCUUUGUAAUCUGUUGAGGGUGUCGCUGCUGGCAAGCUACCUUUGGUGCGACCGACCUUGCCGGCGCGUACAGCCCCGCCACAAGCGCUCGAAGGAACGGGUCCUGGGCAGCUCGUCGGGGGCGUAGCCUUCGGCAAGGUAUCGCCACAAGGCCCUUUCUGCGUGCAGGUUCCCAGUACCGAAAAGGUCAAAAACAUCCAGGGAAAACAAAUGCUUCAUUGGGACCCUUGCUGGCGCGGCUAGCCCUGCCGCGGGUGCUUCGAGGAGCGGAUCCUUAGCAACCUGCUGGAGGUGCCGCUGCCGGCAAGGUUUCCUUGGCGCUCCCAACGCUGCCGCUUAGGUUGCUGAGCGGGCUCGAAGCAAAACAAGGGCGCGCCCGGCUACGCCAAGUUCCCCUCACGGCAAGUCUCGGAAACUAGGUGAUUCGUCGACCCUUGCCGGAGGUAAGCGUAACGCAUGACUAUGCAUACCAACAUAUAUGAAGAUCGGUAAGGAUUGCGAAACGCUUAACUUUUUACUUAUGCUGUGCACAGGAUUGUGCUUGGCUUUGCGCGAAGGUUUAUAUGCCCUGCUGGCAAGACUUGCGCAAAGGAGGGUUGCCGGGAGCCCCCGGCAUCCGAGCUUCAUGGGCUACCGGCAAGAACGUUGCCGUCCUGGAGGUGGUUAGGGCAGCGCCGAGCCUCCUUGGGAGCGACAGGCCCCGGCAAAGAUGUAUCGUCUUGCCGGGGGUGCUCUCCAUUGCGCCCUCGACAGCAGUACAACGCUCCUAAGAGGCAAGACUGACGGAACGAGCGCCUGGGGUCUUGUCGAAGCCCCCUGGCACAUCCUCGACAACGGCGCAUCGCCCCGGAGGGGUGCACACGCCGAAGAAGGUGCCGAGAGUCCUACCAGAGCCCCCGACGCGUGCGCUCGAUAGCGGCGCCGCACCCUGGAGGAGGUGUACCCGCCGGAGUGCGCGGAGGCCCAAGGGCUCUGCUCCCCCGGUCUUUGCCCGAGCCGUUGCUGGCUCGGGUGGUUGCGGACGCAGCCGCGAAUCGUUGAGAUGCCACGGCCGCUCUCCCUUCGGAGGUCGCCGUGGUGGCGGUGAUGACGAAGCUAAUGCCCCGAUCCUCAGGUUAGAUCAAUGCACCUUUAUCCCCCUACCUGGUGCGCCAAAGAUGUCGUGGGACACGAGCGCGCAUGGGACCUAGGGAUCCCUUGUGGUCCGGCGAGGGGGGGCGGAUGCGCCGAGAGCAGACCGAGAGGUCGGGGCACAAUCGUUUUACCCAGGUUCGGGCCGCUCGACGGCGUAAAACCCUACUCCUGCUUCGUGUUUAUGAUGUAAAGGUGGUGAGCUGCUGAGCGUCGGUUCUCUGACUUGCUAACCUUCUCUAUGCAUGCCCAGGGCCUCCUUUUAUAGGUCGAAGGGGUCUCCAACAAUGGCAACAUAGGGUUCUCACGGGGUGCACAAUAAAAUAGUAGACCCACAAGUUGCACAGUGCGUUACAGUGUUUCUGGCGUCUUAGCAGAUGCAUUUAAUGCUUCGUCGGGUCUCCCAGAGAUGGGACAAGGGUGUGUCCCAUCGGCACUGUGCUCCCAGGUUCCGCUCAACACGUGUCGAUCGGAACGACGACACGUAUCAAGUGGCUGGGGGGCAGUUGGCUGUUGCGCUGGCACAAGGGUGCGUCGGGGCCCUGCCGGGGAUGAGGUGUACUGGAGCGUGGGCAGCUCUCCCGGCAAGGGUCUUGCCGGGUCUUUGCUGCCUUCCCCCGGUAAAGGGGCUUGCCGGGGUCGAUGCUUUCGGUCUUCUGUCUUGAGGCUUCCGGUGCCUUCAUGGUUUUGGCGCGGCACUUCGAAAAGUUCCCUUGCCGGGUCAUUGUCUUGCCGGGGACACUGAUAGCCCCUGCUCCGGUCCUUGUCGGGUCUUUGUUGGCCUCCCCCGGCAAAAGGGGCUUGCCGGGGUUGGCGCCUUCCUCUCAGUUUGAAUGACCUCUGAGAGUUUUGCCCUUGUCUCCCGUCGUCCC